AACAAAAAAAAAAAGUUUCAUUUGAAGACUUUCAAUAACGAUUGAAUCACAGCAUUGUUGUCCUUAAAUGUCCUAGUUUAGGACCUAGGGCACACAGUGCUAGUUACUGGUAGGACUAGAUCUGUACAACUUGGUUGUAUGUCAUAUUGCAGUGAAGGAUACUGUCAAUAUCCUAACCUUACGGUAUUGUGGUGAAAUACAAUGCUCAAAUACCUAGCCCAUUAAAUACUAGCUAAAAGCUUUGACACGGUUCAUUAAUACUUUAAACUGUCAAAGUUCAGCUUGCAAGAGUUACAAAACUUACACAACCUUUGUUUUUGUUUUUUUUUAAUCUUAUGAUACUAGUGAGUGGAGGAAUUUUAAAAACAAGUUGAAUUCUAUUUGAAUUAUUCUGACAUUUUUAGAGUGAAAGUUUUCAAACUUGUUUUUGUUUCCUCUGAAAUUCUCUGAAGAGUUUAUUUUAUGUACAAAGAAAAACAAAAUGGUUCAAAAAGUUGUUUUUACACCUAUAACAAUGAAAGUGCUGGGUUGAUAAUAAUCAUUAAAACUAUUACAAGUGCUGAGUAAUUGAUUCAGUGAUUUUACAUACAAGUGACUAUUAGUACAUCUUUAGCAUAAAGACUUUUAGUCUUACGUUUAUGAAGAGAGCAAUAUAUAAUCCUUUUAGUGUACAAUAGUUAUUCUAAUUCUAAAUCUUCUUCACCUAUUAAACAAACAUAAUUUCAAAUGUUUUAAUUCUUAUGAAUAAUAUUGUUUGAUGUGACAUCAGCCAUGAACUAGAUCAAGAAAUCUAGUUCAGAAAUACAUCACUAUAAUUGAUGCAUAAAUACAUUACAAGUAAGAAAAAAUAAAUGUCAUUUCAGUGACAUAGUGCCAAUGUCCUUAUAGUUUCAGUUCCAAUUUACAGCUACUCUGCCGUUUCCAUAUCUUCUCUAAUAUUUAUUGCACAUAUAAAAAAAACAAAAAAACAACUAAAUUAAG